CAAACGAAUGAGAAAUGUAAAUUCAUCGUCAACUGAGUUUGUAACUUAUGUUGCUGUAGAAACUAUAGUGUAAUUAGCCUGUAGACCAGUGAAAAGCCGGGAGUGUGCGCUGAACAUCAAGAUGAAAUGAUGACUGACUGUUUAAGAGACCCUAAAUUGAGUUUUCUGAUCACUUCACGCCACCUCACCUCACGAGUGCGCACCAGCUGAGGUACUGAAUUGGAAGUGUUAGAAAGACCUUGGUGCCACCACCCUCAACAUAGACUGGCCAAAAAAGACUGAGCAGGGGAAGUGGCUGCUCUACCUGAUAAAGAUCAGCGCCACUGGAGUGAAGCAGAUGGAGUGUUUGGUGGAUGCUCACCCUUCAUGUAUGCUUUUUCACUUUCUUUUUGGCUGGACAGCAGAGGCGACGUCAGUCCUAUAAACGCAAAAGUCAGCAUGGGUGCCGCCACUGUUAUGAGGAAAAGGACACUGAUUGAAAUUAAAGUUAACGCCAGCUCUAUUUGAUGUCCAGUAGUCAGGGAAUCCAUUGGUGCUUCCUUCUUUGUUGACAGUCCUGUGGCAGUGG